UGCGUAGGCGGAAUAUUAAGUCAGUGGUGAAAUCCUGCGGCUCAACCGUAGAACUGCCAUUGAUACUGAUAUUCUUGAAUGUAGUUGAGGUAGGCGGAAUGUGUAAUGUAGCGGUGAAAUGCUUAGAUAUUACACAGAACACCGAUUGCGAAGGCAGCUUACUAAACUAUGAUUGACGCUGAGGCACGACAGCGUGGGGAGCGAACAGGAUUAGAUACCCUGGUAGUCC
rnacentral:rRNA from 1 species